ensembl:lncRNA HPN-AS1 HPN antisense RNA 1
GGCACAAGAGCUAGGACAGGAGGAGCCGCAGAGCUCGUAAUUGCUGCGGGGAGGACAGGCCAGCUCUGGAAGAAAACAGGUGGACCUGGGUCCCAUUAACCUGGACAGACACCUCCAAGAUGAGCAUGAGGGGGCUGCUGGAUCUGUUCUCCUUUCACAGCUGUAUCCUGAAGAAUGGCAGUGAGCCGGAAGAGCCACAGGAUUCGGCAAAGACGGACACACAGCUGAGUCCGGCUACCCUGGCGUUGGAGCGCGAGGAGCACAGCAGCCGCCACGUCCCUUCCGUCUUGUCAAAGACCAUGAGCCGAGCGUCCGCAGAGCUGACCUGCACUGCAGGGCGACAGGGCCCGGGGCCGCCUGGGUCCCACAGCCAGGCUCCCCACAUGCUUCCCCAGCCGGAGCCCCUCCUGGCCUGUGCUCCAGCCAUGUGGUGUAGACGUGAACCCCAGCCCAUCGGAGGGUUGCAGCCCCCACAUCUGCGAUUGCAUCUGGAAUCAUGACUCAAGGACUUUUUUUUUUUAAAGACAGGGUCUCGCUCUGUUGCCCAGGCUGGAGUGUAGUGGUGUGAUCUUGGCUCACUGUAGCCUUGACCUCCCAGACUCAAGAAAUCCUCCUACCUCAACCUCCUGAGUAGCUAGGACCACAGGCGUGCACCACCACACCUGACUAAUUUUUUUGUUUGUUUGUUUUGUUUUGUUUUGUUUUGUAGAGACGGGUCUUGCUAUGUUGCCCAGGCUGGUCUUGAACUCCUAGGCUCAAGCAAUCUUCCUGCCUCUGCCUCCUAAAAUGCUGGGAUUACAGGUGGGAUUACAGAGCACCAUGGCACUCUGCCAGACUCAAGGACUCAGGUCGGACCAAUCAACAGCAGCCUUGAGGCUGUGGCCGGCCCCUCCGCGAACCAGGGGAACUUCACUCUCCAUUAGAAGUCCUAAGUUGGCUGCUCAGGAGCUGCAGGUCUGGAAGGUGACUUGGACAUUCGGGAAGAAAAAAAACCAUUUAACCAAGUUCCCAAGAGAAUCCAGCACUUGAGGCUGGAUCUGUUAAGGGUCAUGUUCACCCUCUUGAGGGAAAAAGUGAGCUAACGUGGAGGAGAGUCAAGAGAUUUCUGAUAACAUUUUAUUUUAUUAUUGUAUUUUUUGUGGAGAAACCGAAGCUCUUUAUUAGUAUGUUUGUCAUUUGUCUUUUUCCAUUUGUCUUUGGUCACACCCUUAACUCAUAUAAAAAGACCUCUCACUUUAUACGUACACAGACAGCAUAUGGAAAAUAGAAGAACAAAUUUGUUGCCAGUUUGUAGAUCAUAGCCUGGUUUCUUCAUAUGAACUUUUCCAUAGCUAUAUGGAGUAGUAUUAUUAUUACAUAAUAUAAUAUUAAUAUAUUGUUAUAAUAUAAUAUUAAUAUAUUGUUAUAAUAUAAUAAUAUAUUAUUAU